rnacentral:lncRNA from 1 species
UUCGAACUUUCUUACCAAUUUGAAAAGACAACAUGCGAACAAAGAAGAAUAAACAUCUUGGAUGAAAAAUAAAGCUAGCACUUCAUAUCUUAUAUGAGGGUUUUGAAAUCCAUUAAAAUAAUUAGUAAGCAACUGACAAAUUCUUGACUUAAAUAAUUAUUAUUUUUAAUAAGGCGCAACAAAUAAUAAUAACUAUUCUUCCAACCUAAAAUAAACAUCUUUACAUGCUAAAAAAAAUAUAUCUACCAACAAUAAGUUUAAACAAGACAUGGAUAUCGUUUUUCAAGUAAAGAUCUAAACUUUAUUCAAAUAAUCAAAGAAUAAGGUGAAAAGACAAAACAUUCAACAUUAACUAUUCUUCUAAACAUAAAGAAAAUAACUUUACAUACUAAAAACAAAUGUAUCAAAGAACAAUGAGUUUAUAAAAAAGCAUAAAUACAUCUUUUAAGCAAAGAUUGAAACUUUAUCUAAAAUAAUCAAAGA